rnacentral:rRNA from 1 species
AACGAACGCUGGCGGCAUGCCUAACACAUGCAAGUCGAACGAGACCUUCGGGUCUAGUGGCGCACGGGUGCGUAACGCGUGGGAAUCUGCCCUUGGGUUCGGAAUAACAGUUGGAAACGACUGCUAAUACCGGAUGAUGACGUAAGUCCAAAGAUUUAUCGCCCAGGGAUGAGCCCGCGUAGGAUUAGCUAGUUGGUGGGGUAAAGGCCUACCAAGGCGACGAUCCUUAGCUGGUCUGAGAGGAUGCUCAGCCACACUGGGACUGAGACACGGCCCAGAAUCCUACGGGAGGCAGCAGUGGGGAAUAUUGGACAAUGGGCGAAAGCAUGAUCCAGCAAUGCCGCGUGAGUGAUGAAGGCCUUAGGGUUGUAAAGCUCUUUUACCCGGGAUGAUAAUGACAGUACCGGGAGAAUAAGCCCCGGCUAACUCCGUG